rnacentral:tRNA from 1 species
GGGGUUGUGGCUCAGCGGUAGAGCGCUCGCCUAGCAUGUGUGAGGUGCUGGGUUUAAUCCUCAGUACCACA